GAUCAUGGCUCAGGAUGAACGCUAGCUACAGGCUUAACACAUGCAAGUCGAGGGGCAGCAUGGUCUUAGCUUGCUAAGGCCGAUGGCGACCGGCGCACGGGUGAGUAACACGUAUCCAACCUGCCGUCUACCCUUGGACAGCCUUCUGAAAGGAAGAUUAAUACAAGAUGGCAUCAUGAGUCCGCAUGUUCACAUGAUUAAAGGUAAUUCCGGUAGACGAUGGGAG
rnacentral:rRNA from 1 species